AAUUUCAGAGGUUCUAGAAUGCUGGAACUUGCACCUUGGUGGUGUUCUAGAACUCUCAGGGAUACUGGAUUUCUAGAACUACAAAAGGGUCCUGCGUGAGGGGACAGAUCUCGCGGACUUUAGAGUUUCUCUCUGCCACCACUUAACUUUGAAGCUCCGUGAUGAUGUUGUGGGGCCCUUGGGGCCGCUGAAAUGUCUGGGCAGGGAAGAAAAAUAUCUGUAGAGUUCUUUGUCUCUCUCGGAUUCGGAGCUGACAGAAUUCAUAUCAGAAGAGUGAACGCAGGGACAUCUGUGUGCGGAAUGACUGUGCUGCUCGAACCUGCCAAUCGCUCCUGGCACGAGCUGGAAAACCUCUUGGCUGCCUCUCUUCAGGAGUAAAUUUGAAGAUCUAAGAAAUCACAGUCCUCCAUGUGUGCAAAGGAAGACCUAAAAGUGUUGAACCUAAGGGCAUAGCAAGAAGGUCUAGUUAUGCGUGAAGAAUUCCU
rnacentral:lncRNA from 1 species